rnacentral:rRNA from 1 species
GGAUUGCCUCAGUAACGGCGAGUGAAGCGGCAACAGCUCAAAUUUGAAAUCUGGCCUCUGGCCCGAGUUGUAAUUUGUAGAGGAUGCUUUUGGUGAGGUGCCUUCCGAGUUCCUUGGAACAGGACGCCAUAGAGGGUGAGAGCCCCGUCUGGUUGGACACCGAUCCUCUGUAAAGCUCCUUCGACGAGUCGAGUAGUUUGGGAAUGCUGCUCUAAAUGGGAGGUAUAUGUCUUCUAAAGCUAAAUACCGGCCAGAGACCGAUAGCGCACAAGUAGAGUGAUCGAAAGAUGAAAAGCACUUUGAAAAGAGGGUUAAACAGUACGUGAAAUUGUUGAAAGGGAAGCGCUUGUGACCAGACUUGGGCUUGGUCAAUCAUCCAGUGUUCUUCACUGGUGCACUUGGCCGGCCUAGGCCAGCAUCAGUUCGGCGCGGGGGACAAAGGCUUCGGGAAUGUGGCUCCCCCGGGAGUGUUAUAGCCCGUUGUGUAAUGCCCUGCGCCGGACUGAGGUUCGCGCAUCUGCAUGGAUGCUGGCGUAAUGGUCAUCAGCGACCCGUCUUGAAACACGGACCAAGGAGUCGUCUUCGUAUGCGAGUGUUCGGGUGUUAAACCCCUACGCGGAAUGAAAGUGAACGCAGGUGAGAGCUUCGGCGCAUCAUCGACCGAUCCUGAUGUUCUCGGAUGGAUUUGAGUAAGAGCAUACGGGGCCGGACCCGAAAGAAGGUGAACUAUGCCUGUAUAGGGUGAAGCCAGAGGAAACUCUGGUGGAGGCUCGCAGCGGUUCUGACGUGCAAAUCGAUCGUCAAAUAUGGGCAUGGGGGCGAAAGACUAAUCGAACCUUCUAGUAGCUGGUUUCCGCCGAAGUUUCCCUCAGGAUAGCAGUGUUGAACUCAGUUUUAUGAGGUAAAGCGAAUGAUUAGGGACUCGGGGGCGCUGUUUAGCCUUCAUCCAUUCUCAAACUUUAAAUAUGUAAGAAGCUCUUGUUACUUAAUUGAACGCGGGCAUUCGAAUGUAUCAACACUAGUGGGCCAUUUUUGGUAAGCAGAACUGGCGAUGCGGGAUGAACCGAACGCGAGGUUAAGGUGCCAGAGUAGACGCUCAUCAGACACCACAAAAGGUGUUAGUACAUCUUGACAGCAGGACGGUGGCCAUGGAAGUCGGAAUCCGCUAAGGACUGUGUAACAACUCACCUGCCGAAUGUACUAGCCCUGAAAAUGGAUGGCGCUCAAGCGUCUCACCCAUACCUCGCCCUCAGGGUAGAAACGAUGCCCUGAGGAGUAGGCGGACGUAGAGGUCAGUGACGAAGCCUAGGGCGGAG